AUGCGUCGCAUCCUCCUCGUUCUCGCGGCCGCAGCGGCGGUCGUCGUCGCCGGCGCCGAGUCCGUCCUCCGCCAGGUCACGGACGUCCCAACCGCCGUGUCCUCGGGCGUCUCCGACGCGGACGCGCUCUUCUGCGACAGCUGGAGGUUGUCGGUGGAGACGGCCAACGCGGGCCCCUGGCGCACCGUGCCGGCGCGCUGCGGGGCGUCCGUGCGCGCGUACAUGGAGGGUGAGCGCUACGCGUCCGACUCCGCCGUCGCGGCCGCCGAAUCCCUCGCCUUCGCUGCGCAGGCAUUCGCGUCGGGCGUGGGGGGAGCCAUGCCGGCGUGGGUGUUCGACGUCGACGAGACGCUGCUCUCCAACGCACCCUACUACGCCGUCAGCGGAUGGGGAGCCACCCAAACAUCAGCGGCGCCUUAUCUUUCUGCUCAAAAUUCUCAAUAUCCAUCACCAGCAAUUCGAAGUCAUGGUGAAGCAAUCUCCAGUUUCGUAGCAACCGGAUUACAGGAAUUCAACGAGACCUCAUUUGAUGCAUGGGUAGACAUAGCGAAAGCACCUGCAUUACCAUCUAGCUUGAAACUGUACAAUGAACUGCAAGGACUUGGUUUCCAUAUUAUCCUCUUGACUGGACGAAGUGAAUUGCAGCGAAAUGCUACAGAGGAAAAUCUCUUGUUUGCGGGCUACCAUUCAUGGGAAAAACUCAUACUGAGGCAAAUCUCUGAUAUUGGCAAGACCGCUGUGCAGUACAAAUCAGAGAGGCGAGCUGCAAUGGAAGCGGAAGGAUUCAAGAUACUUGGAAACUCUGGGGAUCAAUGGAGUGACCUGAUAGGAUUGCCAAUGGCAACGAGGUCCUUUAAGCUUCCAAAUCCAAUGUACUUCAUCAGUUGA
rnacentral:rRNA from 1 species